rnacentral:misc_RNA from 1 species
UUUAGUAGUACCUAUAUAUGAUAUACAUUUAAAUACAUGCACAUCCUGUUUGCCUUUGUCGUGCUAUCAUCCUUUUUCCCCGCAUGUUGUAUUUUGACAGUUUCCGUUUGUUGUGUUGUUUCUAUUCUACCUUUGAAGAUCUCUCCCGCAAUUCCUGUCUUAUAAUUCUUGCGCAUAACUUCAUCCCUACCCAAUAACGUCCACAGAUGAUCAGCAACGAACCAUGUUUUCAGGCUCGGUGCAUGAAAGAUCGUGCCAUCUGCAAGACCUGGUGGGAAACUUUGUAAGUCAACUCCAAAGACUUAAUGAACAUGAACUGGAGGAAGACUGCCGCAACAACUACAGCAGUGUCGGCGUCUUGUCUUCGAUGCUGGACAUGGUGACCAUGAUGGUGAACGACAUGAACGACAUAUUAUCAGAUGUCAUCCAACAGGAACAAGUGACGGUUUCACAAUCAGAGCUGUCAGAGAGUCAAGUUGAGGACAGUGAUAUCGGUUUUGAACUGGGUCUCGAGGAAGAACUGAGAAAUGAGAGAGAUUUACACAAAAUAUAACAGCAUCUGUGCUUUAUUAUGAAUUGGCAUAGAGAAGGAGGAUUUGAGAGAAAACACUGAAAUAUCACAAGAUAUUCACUUGUGACCAACAUAAAUAUUUAUUUAACACCACAUGGAAGUAAUGAGAUCGUAGUGACAGCAUCAUCUUUGGAGCAUAAUUAGUUCAAGAAGGAGAAAGGGAAGAAGAGAAGAAAAAAAAUGGUGGAAGAGCAGAUGAUAUUUUGGAGAAAGGAUGGUGUAGAUGAUGGGAAGGAAAAUAAAAUGUAACCGAUUUAGAAUUUGAAUGAAAAUGAAAUGCAAUGCGAUACUAAAGA